GUCCACGCCGUAAACGAUGGGUGCUAGGUGUGGGCGGUGUCGACUCCGUCCGUGCCGAAGCUAACGCAUUAAGCACCCCGCCUGGGGAGUACGGCCGCAAGGCUAAAAACUCAAAGGAAUUGACGGGGGCCCCGCACAAGCAGCGGAGCAUGUGGUUCAAUUCGACGCGACGCGAAGAACCUUACCAGGGCUUGACAUGCACUGGAAAGCCGUAGAAAUACGGCCCCCCUUGGGGCCGGUGCACAGGUGGUGCAUGGCUGUCGU
rnacentral:rRNA from 1 species